AAAGCAACUGACAACUUUAGACCCAUUGGAGUAUGGUUGGAUUGAGCAGGACAACAUAUAUGCCUUCAAAGGGUUCGAAGGUGACCAACUUCCAUAUUUUGUGAGUGACUUAAUCACCAAUGUUCCUGUAUUCGAUUCAAUGGUUGAUGAAGACGAGUCGCCUAACGAUAAAGAUGACUCCGAUGAUGAUGAUGAUGAAUGAAGAUUGAUAUAUAUAUAUAUAAUAUGUAAUGCAUGCAUGAUAUAUUUUUUUAACUGAUUUAACACUUUUAAAUUUUGUCUUGACGAAAUAAAAAUGAGGAAUUGAAUUCUUUUUUGAUCAGCA